UAAAAAUACAACUCAUCUGGGUGCAGUGGCACAUACACGCUGGUAAUCCCAGUGGCUCAGGAGGCUGAGACAGGAGGAUCUUGAGUUCAAAGCCAGCCUCAGCAAAAGGGAGGCACUAACAACUCAAUGAGACCCUGUCUCUAAAUAAAAUACAAAUAGGACUGGGGAUGUGGCUCAGUGCUUGAGUGCCCCUGAGUUCAAUCCCCAGUACCAAACAAUGACAAAAACAACAACAACAAAAAGCCCCAACUCAUACAAAUAUAAAGUAAUCAUGUGUCAGAGAUUCAUUUGACAUUUCAUGAGGGAACUGGCAACAUGAAUAGGUUGUUUUGGAGACAACUGAAGACAGUAAAGUAUUUGUGGUGGGAAAAAGUGCAAGGAAAAAAGUGCUUGAAUAGGAUUAAUUUAAUAUAAAACUGGUUAAUAAAUAGAUAGAGGAAUAAAAUUAGCUUUUAAUGUUAUUCUUCCUUUUACUGUUGUUAAUGUAUUAGUGUUAUUACAUGUUACAAUAAAAAAAUAUAUCCCAUUAUUCUGUUUAGGUCAAGGAAGAAUAGAGAAUUAAAAAUAAUUUGGGGCCAAAAUGAUAAUCAGAUUAUCGCCAAUUCUCUAACCAAAAAACCCCAAAGUAACUGCUAAGGCUAACAAACAUACAAUAUGUGGAUGUGUAACCAAUGUGAUUCUGCAAUCUGUAUUUGGGGUAAAAAUGGGAGUUCAUAACCCACUUGAAU
rnacentral:lncRNA from 1 species